rnacentral:rRNA from 1 species
UACAUGGGGUGCAAACGUUGCUCGGAAUUAUUGGGCGUAAAGCGCACGUAGGCGGUCCGUUAAGUCGGAUGUGAAAGCCCCCGGCUCAACCGGGGAAGUGCAUCCGAAACUGGCAGGCUAGAGUACGAAAGAGGGUCGCGGAAUUCCCGGUGUAGAGGUGAAAUUCGUAGAUAUCGGGAGGAACACCGGUGGCGAAGGCGGCCUGCUGGGCAGUAGCUGACACUGAGGCGCGACAGCGUGGGGAGCAAACAGG